ensembl:lncRNA
AUGCCCUCUCCCACAGGAGCCUUUCCGUUUUCCCCACUGCCACAGCAGUCCCCGCUCCUGCAGGUGGUCUUCCAUAUUUCCCCCAGUCCUCGCUUCCACAGGAGCUUUUCCAUUUUUUUCCAUUUUCCCGCUCCUGCAGGUGGUCUUCCAUAUUUCCCCCAGUCCUCGCUUCCACAGGAGCUUUUCCAUAUUUCCCCACCGCCGCAGCAGUGUCAGCUCCCGCAGGAGCCUUUCUGUAUUUCCCCACUGCCGCAGCAGUGCCCGCUCCCGCAGGAGCCUUUCCAUAUUUUCCCCACUGCCGCAGCAGUGUAUGCUCCUGCAGGACCCCUUUUUCUGUAUUCCCCACUGCCGCUGCAGUAUCCGCUCCCGCUGGAGCCUUUCCUGUCUUUCCCCACUGUCGCAGCAGUUCCCGCUCCCGCAGGAGCCUUUUUCUCCCUUUCCCCACUGCAGCAGUGCCCGCUCCAGCAGGAGCUCUUUCAUAUUUCCCCACUGCAGCAGUGCCCGCUCCCGCAGGAGCUCUUCCAUAUUUCCCCACUGCCGCGGCAGUGUCAGCUCCUGCAGGAGCCUUUCUGUAUUUCCCCCCUGCCACAGCAGUGUAUGCUCCCGCAGGAGCCUUUCCGUAUUUCCCCACUGCCGCAGCAGUGUCAGCUCCCGCAGGAGCCCUUUUUUCUGUAUUCCUCACUGCCGCAGCAGUAUCCGCUCCCGCUGGAGCCUUUCCUGUCUUUCCCCAUUGUCGCAGCAGUUCCCGCUCCCGCAGGAGCCUUGCCUAGAUUCCCUCACUGCUGCAGCAGUUCCUGCUCCAGCAGGAGUCUUCAUCUUUAUUUGAAUCUGCAGCAGUGCUCACUUCCGCAGAAGCCAUUUUUUCUUUUCAGAUGCCGCAGCAGUUCCCGCUCCAGUAGGAGCCUUUGUCUGUAUUUUAAUCUGCUGCAGUGCUCACUUCCGCAGAAGCUAUUUUCUCUUUUCAGAUGCCGUAGCAGUUCCCACUCCAGCAGGAGUUUUCUUUUCAGAUGCCGCAGCAGCGCCUGCUUCCGCAGAAGCCAAUUUUUCUUUUCAGAUGCCGCAGCAGUGCCCGCUUCUGCAGAAGCUUUUUCUGUAUUUCCCUACUACCACAGCAGUAGUCGCUCCCGCAGGAGCAUUUUCUGUAUUUAUCCACUGCCGCAGCAGUGUCUGCUCCCGCAGGAGCCUUUUCUGUAUUUCUAUGCUCCCGCAGGAGCCUUUUUCUGUUUUUCCCCACUGCUGCAGCAGGAGCCGCUCCCGCAGGAGCCUCCAUCCAUAUAUCCCCACUGCCGUAGCAGUGUCUGCUCCCAGAGGAGCUCGUCCAUAUUUGCCCACUGCCGCAGCAGUGUCAGCUCCUGCAGGAGCCUUUUCUAUCUUCCCUACUGCCGCAAUAAUCGCAUCUUCAGCAGGAGUUGUCAUCUCUCUCUUUCAAGUGGACGCUUCCACGGAAGUCAAAUUCUCUUCCUAGACACUGCCACAACAAUUAUAUACCAAAGGACGUCCAGCACCCAUCUAACAUUAAGCCCAGCUUUUUGGGGAGUCGUAAAUGUGUGUAUCUGGCUGCUGUCCUGUUCUAAUUGUUUUUUGGGGAGCACUUUGGGCUGGGCCGGACUCCGAGCUCAGACCCCUCUCCCCGGACGGGGGGGGGUUGUGCCCCGGGCUCGGAGCUCUCUCCCCGGACAGCACGCCAAAUACGCAUAA